UCAGUGCCUUUAUCAAUUUCUUCAUCUAUAGGCUCAUCUUCUUCAUCAUCGCAUAAGGGUAAGAAUUCAUAUGAUUCUGAUGUUGAUGUAGAGGAUAGGGUUGCUUUCGUUUUUGUUGUAGAAACAACUGGCGAUCUUUGUGACACAGAAACAGUUGACACAAUUUUUUUAGUUGUACUUGGAUCUAAAGAAGUUGUUUUGGUUGUUGUCCGUGGAUCUUUAAAAGAAACAGUUUUUUGAGUUGUUGUCCAUGUUGGUGCAGAAUCUGUUUUUAUAGUUUCUUCACUUUGAGUAGAAUCAAUUGCAGCUGUAGUUAAAUCUGUUUGUGCAGCAUCUGUGGUUAUAGUUUCUUCACUUUGAGUGGAGUCAUCUGUAGCUUUAGUUAAGUCUGUUUGUGCAGCAUCUGUGGUUAUAGUUUCUUCACUUUGAGUGGAGUCAUCUGUAGCUGUAG
rnacentral:sRNA from 1 species